rnacentral:lncRNA from 1 species
UUGGAAAUAUUUUCAGAAAAAUAAAUAGAAGUGGGAUAAAAAAUAAAAUGAAAUGGGAAAAAAAUUGGAUAAAAAUAAACAAAAUAAAAGAAAAGGAAUAAAAAAGAGGACAAAAUGCAUGCGCUAUGGGUUGAACCCUUGGCCUUGGGGUCAUGGGGGAUCAACCCCCUCUCCCACUAAGCCAAGAGCCCACUUAUGAUUAAAAGCGCAUUAAUCAAAUAAAAUAUUAAGUCAAAGAUUAAA